rnacentral:rRNA from 1 species
UACGGGGGGGGCAAGCGUUGUUCGGAUUCAUUGGGCGUAAAGGGCGCGUAGGCGGCGGGGUAAGUCGGGUGUGAAAUCUCAGGGCUCAACCCUGAAACUGCACUCGAUACUGCUCUGCUUGAGGACUGGAGAGGAGACUGGAAUUCACGGUGUAGCAGUGAAAUGCGUAGAUAUCGUGAGGAAGACCAGUGGCGAAGGCGGGUCUCUGGACAGUUCCUGACGCUGAGGCGCGAAGGCCAGGGGAGCAAACGGG